rnacentral:rRNA from 1 species
CCUACGGGAGGCAGCAGUGAGGAAUAUUGGUCAAUGGGCGCGAGCCUGAACCAGCCAAGUCGCGUGAGGGAAGACGGUCCUAUGGAUUGUAAACCUCUUUUGUCGGGGAGCAAAAGACGCCACGCGUGGCGUUCCGAGAGUACCCGAAGAAAAAGCAUCGGCUAACUCCGUGCCAGCAGCCGCGGUAAUACGGGGGAUGCGAGGGUAAUCGGGAUUUAGUGGGUUUAAAGGGUGCGCAGGCGGAAGGUCAAGUCAGCGGUAAAAUUGAGAGGCUCAACCUCUUCGAGCCGUUGAAACUGGUUUUCUUGAGUGAGCGAGAAGUAUGCGGAAUGCGGGGUGUAGCGGUGAAAUGCAUAGAUAUCACGAAGAACUCCGAUUGCGAAGGCAGCAUACCGGCGCUCAACUGACGCUCAUGCACGAAAGUGUGGGUAUCGAACAGGAUUAGAUACCCCGGUAGUC